rnacentral:tRNA from 1 species
ACGGCUGUGGUCUAACGGUAUGAUUCGAGCUUCCCAAGCUUGUGACCCGGGUUCAAUUCCCGGCAGCCGUA